GAUGAACGCUGGUGGCGUGCUUAACACAUGCCAGUCGAACGGAAAGGCCCAAGCUUGCUUGGGUACUCGAGUGGCGAAAGGGUGAGUAACACGUGGGUGAUCUGCCCUGCACUUCGGGAUAAGCCUGGGAAACUGGGUCUAAUACCGGAUAGGACGAUGGUUUGGAUGCCAUUGUGGAAAGUUUUUUCGGUGUGGGAUGAGCUCGCGGCCUAUCAGCUUGUUGGUGGGGUAAUGGCCUACCAAGGCGUCGACGGGUAGCCGGCCUGCGAGGGUGUACGGCCACAGUGGGACUGAGAUACGGCCCAGACUCCUACGGGAGGCAGCAGUGGGGAAUAUUGCACAAUGGGCGCAAGCCGGAUGCAGCGACGCCGCGGGGGGGAGGACGGCCUUCGGGUUGUAAACUCCUUUCGCUAGGGACGAAGCGUUUUGUGACGGUACCUGGAGAAGAAGCACCGGCUAACUACGUG
rnacentral:rRNA from 1 species